rnacentral:rRNA from 1 species
GAUGAACGCUGGCGGCGUGCCUAAUACAUGCAAGUCGAGCGAAGCGGGGACAGGUGAGUAACACGUGGAUAACCCCCUAUAAUACUGGGGUAACUUCGGGAAACCCGAGAUCAACCGGACCCUUAAGGAUGCAGCCGCGCUGCAUUAGCGAGUUGGUAAGGUAACGGCGUACCAAGGCAACGAUGGAUAGCCGACCGGAGAGGUGGAUGGGCCACAUGGGAACUGAGACUGGGCCCGGACGCAUACGGCAGGCGACUGUAGGGAAUCUUCCGCAAUGGGGGAAAGCCUGACGGAGCAACGCCGCGGGAGGGAUGAGGGUCUUCGGAUCGUAAAACUCGGUUAUUAGGGAAGCGGUACCUAAUCAGAAAGCCACGGCUAACUCCGUGCCAGCAGCCGCGGUAAUAC